UGGGGAAUAUUGCACAAUGGACGAAAGUCUGAUGCAGCAACGCCGCGUGGAGGAUGACACAUCUCGGUGCGUAAACUCCUUUUAUAUGAGAAGAUAAUGACGGUAUUAUAUGAAUAAGCACCGGCUAACUCCGUGCCAGCAGCCGCGGUAAUACGGGGGGUGCAAGCGUUACUCGGAAUCACUGGGCGUAAAUAGCAUGUAGGCGGAUUAAUAAGUUUGAAGUGAAAUCCUAUAGCUUAACUAUAGAACUGCUUUGAAAACUGUUAAUCUAGAAUGUGGGAGAGGUAGAUGGAAUUUCUGGUGUAGGGGUAAAAUCCGUAGAGAUCAGAAGGAAUACCGAUUGCGAAGGCGAUCUACUGGAACAUUAUUGACGCUGAGAUGCGAAAGCGUGGGGAGCAAA
rnacentral:rRNA from 1 species